rnacentral:rRNA from 1 species
CCUACGGGUGACUGCAGUGAGGAAUAUUGGUCAAUGGGCGCGAGCCUGAACCAGCCAAGUCGCGUGAAGGAAGACGGUCCUAUGGAUUGUAAACCUCUUUUGUCGGGGCGCAAAAGACGCCACGCGUGGCGUUCCGAGAGUACCCGAAGAAAAAGCAUCGGCUAACUCCGUGCCAGCAGCCGCGGUAAUACGGAGGAUGCGAGCGUUAUCCGGAUUUAUUGGGUUUAAAGGGUGCGCAGGCGGAAGAUCAAGUCAGCGGGAAAAUUGAGAGGCUCAACCUCUUCGAGCCGGUGAAACUGGUUUUCUUGAGUGAGCGAGAAGUAUGCGGAAUGCGUGGUGUAGCGGUGAAAUGCAUAGAUAUCACGCAGAACUCCGAUUGCGAAGGCAGCAUACGGGCGCUCAACUGACGCUCAUGCACGAAAGUGUGGGUAUCGAACAGGAUUAGAUACCCCAGUAGUC